CUCCAAAAAUCCAUUUUCAAAUCCCUAACUCCCAAUUCACUUCUUCUUCCCAAAUUAUUAAUUCUCAAAUCAAAACUCAACGGCACCUCUUCUCUCUCACGCCGAUUUCUUCCAUCGCGACUGUCAACCGCCGGCUCUGGAACGACGACGAGCUGGUGUCGUCGCUGCCACUCGGCCAGCUCCGCCGCCUUUACUCCCUGCUACCGGAGCAACAUCUGCUUCGAGGGUGGUUCAUGGUGUCUGGUCGACGCCGGCCCGUCCCUCUGUCCAUCGGCUCGCCGUUGCUUCUCAGUCAGUGCCUCCCUCCGUUCCCUCUCUCGGCUACUACACAGCGGUGCAGUACUGUUGCCCUUCCCGCCAUUGCCGCGCUGCUGAGACCUCGCCGGCAGCCUCCGCCGGCGUGUUUGCUGCCGCCACCGCUCGUGAGCCACGCCGCUUCACCGGGCAGUAGCUAAUGGGUAAUCCUAUCCUAGGAAAUAACAAGGGCAAGGAAAAGGAGCAUGAAUAAAGUGAUUCGUGUGUCAAGGGCGUUUUGGAUUUCGAGGUAGUAUAUUCUACACUAGGUCUUAAUUCCUGAAUUAAGUCUACGCUAUUGCAUAUAGAAUUUUAUGUGCUUUUAUGUGAUUUUUAUAUGUUAUUUAUGACGUGAAAUACAUGAAUUUUGAAUAUGCGAUGGCAUUGUGAGAAUUGAAAUUUAAUCUGUUUAUCUGAUAUGGUACGGUAUGAAAAGAAGAUAAUGAUGUGUUAUGUUAGUAAUUAUUGAAAAUAAAUAUUGAUAUGAAAAUGAGUAUAUUUGACUGUGUUUAUGCCCCGUGCUUGAGUGUGUUCUGUGGGUACAAUUGGCAUGCCAUAGGACAGCAACGCUUCAUUUUCUGUGAUCACUCGUCUUCUGGAUAACCAAAGCGAGGAUCGUCUGUUAUCUGAUGGGCCCAUAUCUGAUCUGUCUGAUAUGCACCCUAAUGGGUGGUCUGAUUUUCUGUCUGCACCCCAAUGGGUGGUCUGUACGGUGUCCUCUCGAGGACCAUGAUCGCGUCUGUAUCUGAUUCUGUUUCUGAUCUGGUCCGCGUACCCUAGUUUGUCACUAAGCAAUUAAUGGGGCUAUAUGUGUUCUGAUAUUUGAGAAUAAUGGUGAUUGUUAUAUGUGUUAUGAUAUGUGAUUGUGUGAAACCUCUGUUAUAACUCUAAUAUAUCUGGUACAUGUUAUAUGUGUUUGGAUAUGUGAAAGCUAUAUUCUUAUGUGAAAAACGAUAUUAUGUGAUGCUAAAUGAUUUAUUCUGAUGCUAAUGAUCCUCUGAUGCAAAAAGAGUGCAUCUGACUUUGUUUGAUAUGAUUUGACGUUGUAUGAAGUUAUGAUGUUGCUCGACACUAGCAAUUGAUAAUUGAUCAUGUUUAUUGGUAUAUUAUGAGAUUAUAUGAUUAUGCCUUCAGUAAGUCCCAAGAAAUCAAAGGAGGAAGGUCAGGCUUCAAAAGAGGAAAGGUCAGACUUUUAUUGUUGGUUAUUUUGAUAUGUAUAUGGUUAUGAGAAUGUUGGCGAUCUGUAUACGCGUGGUGUAUAAAUAAUAUUGUGACAUAUUCUGUGGUUAACUCGAUAAUUGGUGAUGUGAACUUUACUUUGUGUUCUAUCUUAUUAGUUAAGAAUUUAUAUGUGAUUAUGAAUCUGGUAAAUUCCAUGAGAUCAAGGAAUGAUGACCUAAACUUAUGAUUAUGAUGUUGGGGGUUUAUGAUAAUUAGAUAUAUGUAAAUGGAUAUGAUGAGGUAGGCUUUGGAGUGUUUUCUGGAUUAAUAAUAAUGAAAACACAUAGGUUGCAUACCGUUUACUUAACUCCGGAAAUUAGGCUCUAAUAUUGAUUAUACUACUGGGCUUGUUGAAGCUCAUCCUUUUCUUUUUCCCCUCUGCAGAUUAGAGGAUCAGACCUAGCUCUUUUAUUGUUCAGCUGCAUCCAGGUCACUAGCCUAGCCAGUCUUUUGAGUUCGAGUAAUUCUUGGAUAUGUUAGUUGUGGCAUGUAUAGAAAGUGUAAUGUGGUUUGGACGUUUCAUUUACUUCGUUAUCCAGGUUGUAUAAAUAUAUAUAUAGACUUUUGGGAAACAGGUUUAUGGUCCAAUUUCAGAUGAUAUAUAGCAGUUUUUUUC